GGCCCCCAGGCACACAGCUCUACAGACACACAACCCUACAGACACACAGCCUCCAGGCACACAGCCCCCUAGACACACAGUCCCCAGACACACAGUCCCCCAGACACACAGUCCCCAGACACACAACCCCCAGACACACCGCUCUACAGACAACCAGGCCCCCAGACACACAGUCCCCAGACACACAACCCUACAGACACACCACUCUAUAGACACAUAGUCCCCGGACACACAGUCCCCAGACACACAACCCCCAGACACACAGCCCUACAGACAACCAGGCCCCCAGACACACAGCUCUACAGACACACAACCCUACAGACACACAGCCGCCUAGACACACGAGCCCCAGCAGGCACAACCCCCCAGCACACACAGCCGACAGGGACAACCAGGCCCCCAGACACA
ensembl:lincRNA